rnacentral:lncRNA from 1 species
GCUUUUAUUUUUUAAUUAUUUUUAUAACUCUUUUUAUUUUUUCCAUUAUAGCUGAUUUACAGUGUUCUGUCAAUUUUAUACUACACAGCGAGUUGACCCAGUCACACAUGGGUGUAUACAUUCUUUUGUCUCCCAUUAUCACGCUCCGUCACAAGUGACCAGACAUAGUUUCCAGUGCUACACAGCAGGAUCCCAUUGCUUAUCCAUUCCAAAGGCAAUUGUUUCCAUCUAUUAACCCCAAAUUCCCAGUUCCUCCCACUCCCUCCCCCUCCCUCUUGGCAACCACAAGUCUGUUCUCCACGUCCAUGAAGAAUCAUUAUUUACGAGGGAAGGUGCUGCGUCUUCUCGCCAUAAGCACUUGAGGAUUUGCAGCUGGGUGAUUGCUACCUGCAUGUGUGCUCAGACUCCUGAGUGUCCCUUCUUUCUGGGUGGUUGUUCUGAGGGAGCAGCUAGGACUUCUGAAGAAGGCAUAGGGACCCACUGGCCAUCCUGGAGGCCGAUGUCCAAGGUUAGCGCUGUCAGAUUGCUGGUUCCCCACAGGCUUCCGUUCAGCUCAGCAAGGAGAUGAGCAGAGUAUAAAAAAGUGCACCAUCUUCCAGGGUGGCCAGAGCCAAGGAGAAGCAGGCAAACAAACAAACUCAAGCCACAGCUCCACUGCAGAGAAGCGGGGCUGGUCUGAGACCUCAUCGUCCCCAAGAUGAAAAUGAGUCUAAGCCAGUGUAGUAGAGACAGUGGGAAAACAGGUCCGUUCAAAGGCUGCUGAGAAGUGUAAACUGGCAAAAACCAUGCUGGAGGGCAGUAGGCUGUCUGCAGCAAGUCCUAAAGAUGUCUCUAAGCUGUGACUUGGUAGGAAAAACAAUAAUCUAAAUGCCCAGCUUUCUUUGUGAGACCCCCCCACAGUGGAUGCCAGGGUCCCGUCCUGUACCUUCUUCCUCCAGGUCCUCCAAAGUCCUACCUGUCUCAGACCAUGAGAUGGGGCCACUCCAAGCAUAGGGCCAGACAUAACCAGCAGUUUGAAGGUGACCGGGGGAAGUUCUCGUCAUGGCUCAGUAGUUAACAAAUCAGAACCAGGAACCAUGAGGUUGUGGGUUCGAUCCCCGGCUUUGCUCAGUGGGUUAAGGAUCCAGCGUUGCCAUGAGCUGUGGUGUAGGUUGCAGAUGCGGCUUGGAUCCUGCGUUGCUGUGGCUGUGGCGAAGGCCGGCAGCUACAGCUCUGAUUAGACCCCUACCUUGGGAACCUACAUGUGCCACAGGUGAGGCCCUGGAAAAGACAUAAAAUAAAGGUGACUAGGGAAAGAAGGGGAGAUAAGGGAAGAGGGAGGAAAGUGGGGGGCAGGAGCGUGCCCCCUUAUCCUAGCCUCCCUGCGUUCAUCCAUGCUGAAACCUAAGGAGGCUCCAGCCCUCAUCCUCCUCCCCUGGCCUUGCCUUCACCAGCCACCAUCACUUAGCAGGGAGUUGCCUGUGUCUACACAGCCAGCCUGGACUCAGAGCCCGCUGGCGCUGUGGCAGGGCGCUGCCUGCGUCCGUCCUGAGCCCACACCUCCACUGUGAGCUGCUCCUUGUGGGGGCUAAUGGGCCCUGGCUGCUGCCGUGAUUGAUUGGGUGAUGGAGUGGCCAGGGGCUAAGGCACCCUGGUGGCUCUUGCCGAGGAAAGGGGAGUCCAGGGCACAUUCCAGCCCUGUCAGCACUGGCUCAGCCCGAGUGGUGUAAAAUCUCACGCCUGGAGUCCCGGGAGCUCCUGGUGCCAGCUGCAAUUUUAUUGGUGGUCUGUGACUUCAAAGGCCUCUCCUCCUGCCUGGCUGUGGAGCAGGAGGCCUUGUGCCCAGGGCACCGGGGAAUUCCCCUGGACCUGGACCUGGACCUGGACCUGGACCCAGCCUCUCCCCUGCUACUUUCCUCUAUAUUCAUAAAAAUCACUUUCCAGCGCAGUCUGUGACCACAGCAGAUGGAAAGCAACUGCUUGUUUAGGAGACUGCUUUCACGGACCUGGGUGUCCCAGUUGGUAGUCAAGACACUUGUGCCAAACAUCUAUUCGAUGUCCCAACAUGUUUCCCUACAGAGACCCCUGUAGUGGCAAGAGGGCAGGCUGGGCUGUGGUCUGGGUGACAUCCCUGUGUCUCACCUCGUCUGCAAAAGGAAGUGACACUGAGACUCGGCCUCCUGCCUCCCCACCCUUGAAGGCUUACAAGAAGCCAAAUGUGAGAGAGCAGGCAGAAAAUCUCUCAGUGAAAGGCAGUGCUCUCUCUACACUGCUGGCAACCCUCUCUGGCAGGCCUGGAACUUGCAAUCGAGUGUUUAAGAUACACUUUGUGUUUCAAUCUCAACUCUGACAUUCCCCAGCUGUGUUACCUUGGGAGAGUUACUUGACAUCUCUGUGCUUCAGCUUCCUCAUAAGGAUUAGUUGACAUUGGGGAAACACUUAACCAGUCCCUGGCACCCGGUAGGGGUCGGUAGGGGCUGGAACGGUGUGAGCUAUUAUUAUUAUCACCUACACAUUAACCUCUUCUUGUUUGUUUAUUGCACAGGAGUAGGUGUGUCUGCCAGUGAGAUGAGAAGUUUCUAGUGUUCUUUCCUUCUUCUCCUCUCAAUGCACGCGUGCGUGCACGCACGCCCACACACACACACACACACACACAGGGGCACACCCCCAGCCCCGCCUGGGAUGGUAGCAAGAGCAGCCCAGGGGUCAGAUCCUGCCCUGCCAUCUGCUUGCUAAGUGAACUUGGGUAUGUUAUUAGACCCCUGCAAAACCAGCCUCCUCAUUUAUAAAGAUGAGCUAAGAAUAACCUGAUUCCCUAACUGCUAAGAAUAACCUGUCUAACCUCCAGUAAGCAUUUUGUGAAUCUUCUAGACUCGGGGCCAGGCACACCACAGCUCAAUAAACACUUGCUGGCCUGAGGUCAGUUCGGCACAAAGGGCGUUCAACUGGGAGGCCACAUCAAGCCACCAGCCCCACCCGACCUGCCAUGGCGGCCACACUUGGAAGAUCAGAUAGGAGCGAACCCUUCUGGGGCAAGGACUGCAUCUUCUCCCUCACACUUGCCAGCAGCUGGUCCUGCUCGGUACAAACAACAUGAGAUACACCCCCGCAGAAGUGACCCUGGCUGUCUGAGAUCCUGUCCAGCGGAAAGUUAUGGAGAGAAAGCUGAAGAAGGAAAAGCUGCCCCUCAAGAUCUAAACCGAAUCUUGCUGGAGAUGGAAACUAACGGGGAUGAAAACACAACAGCAGAAAAAUACAGACCGUUUUGAAGUCUGCUCACCUGGGAGUCAAGCCACAUUGAAAAUCAAUAAGGCAUCAAGGCCGGGAGCGUGGAGGGCUGCCUGGAUACCUGCUUGUGCCUCCUUUAAAGCAAGGAAACCUUUGAAGUUGCAGACGACCAAUAAAAAUACAGCUGGCAUUUACAGCUUCAACCCCUCCUGCCUUUGCUUUUCACCAAGUACCUCAAGCUGCAGCCAGAGUCGCCCCGGGCUGGAAUGUUGGCCGGGCACCACAGGGCCCACGCCGUUGACAAGGACAAUGGUUCCUGGCAUGCACUGGCCAGGGAUUGGUGAUUAACUGUAGGCCUGCUGGCACCCUUCCAGGACAACCCUGGCUUGGGUUCUGGCCACCAGACACAGUGGCUGAGGGUCCCCAAAAUGCUUUAGGAAGAUGAGGUCUGUCAGAAGCAGUCUUAAGUCAUGGCUACGCUGAGCCACCGGGAAGCUCUUGUUUGCAGGGGAUAAUGUUCCUCUAUUUCAUGUGCUAUCGGUCGACUGCUUCCUUCUGCGCUCCUUUUUGAAGGCCUGUAGCACCAGAAAGGUAAGCCUGCUGGGAUGCUCCCCCCUCCCCAGGCAUGGAGCAAUCAAAACAGAGCAAGUUUGGAGUACCCAUCGUGGCUCAGCGGUAACAAAUCUGACUAGCAUCCAUAAGGACGCAGGUUCAAUCCCUGGCCUCGCUCCGUGGGUUAAGAAUCCGGCGUUGCCAGGCGCUGUGGUGUAGGUCGCAAUUGUGGUUAGGAUCUGGUGUUGCUGUGGCUGUGGCGUAGGCCAGCGGCUACAGUUCCGAUUGACCCAUAGCCUGGGAACCUCCAUAUGCUGUAGAUGCAGCCCUAAACAAAAGACCACCCCCACCAAAAAGAAAAGAAAAUACUUUAAAAAAAAAAAAAAAGGGAACAGGUUUCAUCGAUUCGUGAAAAAGGCAACAAGUUAUAACGAAAGGGUCCUAGAACUCAGUUCCCAGCCCACUUAGGAUGCUGAAGUUGGCGGCUCUUCUCACAUCUCUCAUUUUUUUUCUACUUACCACGCAUAGGAAGCUCCGUGACCUUUCAUUCAAUAAGCACACCACAGGGUCUCAGAACUCAGGGCUUAUGGUCCAGCCAGGGAAACAGAACUCAGAGACACAAAACGUCCAACCCCCAAAGUGGUAAAGGGGUCUUAAAAUAAAUGGAAGAUAUAAUACCAUACCACAAACACGGGCCACGUCAGGCCUAAUGACCAAGCUAAGCUAAUGUCAAUAAACAGAGAACUAUUAGGAAAUUCAUUAAUCAAGGUCUUGUUUAUACUCCUAUUUGUCAACCAAAUUAUUUGUUUGACUUGUGGCCUCCCUGCUUUAUUACGGUCAUUUCUGUCAUCAGCGGAGCUGGGCUGCUGGAAUUUCACCCAUGGGCAGGGCCUGUACUGUCUUUGCUUUGCUGUCCUGGUCGCCUUCUUCAAGAACCAGAGCGCUCAUCAGGGGCCGGGGUCUGUCUUCGGUUAACAGAAGACAGGUAGUUCAGUGGGUAGUUCAGUGGUUCUCGGGAUCUUAAUUAAUUGAUCUGCUAAUCACCAGUUCCUGUUUCUAGAAGCUGACCUCUGAAGCAGCCUCCGGCUCGUGGGGAAAUGCCACAGCGAGGAACGCCAGGCUGAAAAGCGAGAGCAGGAGCUAGGGCGCCGAGCAGCUCUCUGAGGACCCCUGAGGUCCUGCCCCACCUGGAUUUGGUCUUUACAAGGCGGCCUCUCACUCUCUGCCUCGCCCUCCCAUGUGUGUUUCCUUUCAGCUCCCUUGGCUCACAGUCCCCUACCCCCCAGGCCUCACCUCCCAGAGGUCAGGCUCUUCUAGAAAGCCUCCUCUAACCACAGAAGCCAGAUAGGAUUUGUCCCACCUCUGGCCUUCAAACUCCUCCGUCCCCAUAAUUGUGUCGGCCCUGUUCUGCUCAGACCCAGCUUUGGGGACCAUGCACUCCCGCUAGCAAUGAGCAGAUAAGCUCUUCGAUGGCAAGUCAACCUUCAGGGUCUCACAGCUUUGCAUCCUUUCUCCUUGGCUCCACUCCCCCACUAAUACACACACACACACACACACACACACACACACCCGCUGGACCAACAGAGAGUGCAAAUGGAACUUUCAUUAGGGGUUUUGCGUCUCCCCAGACCCGAAGGCAUCCCUGUUUCAGGCCUUGCCUAUAAGCCCAUAGAGAAUGAUGAUCACCUUGGCAACCACCCUCCCUACUUUGAUCUCCUAAAUUGAACUAAUUUCUGGAGUUUCCACCGUCUCUGAGCCAGUGCUUCCUGCCGAGGACAGAAAUGUCAAAUGUGGGAGUUCCUGUUGUGGCUCAGUGGUUAAUCAAUCUGACUAGGAACCAUGAGGUUGCGGGUUCGAUCCCUGCCCUUGCUCAGUGGGUUAAGGAUCCGGCGUUGCCUUGAGCUGUGGUGUAGGUUGCAGACGCGGCUCAGAUCCCGCGUUGCUGUGGCUCUGGCGUAGGCCAGCAGCCAAGGCUCCGAUUCGACUCCGAUUCGAGCCCGGGAACCUCCAUAUGCCGCAGGAGCGGCCCAAGAAAUGGCAAAAAGACAAAAAAAAAAAAAAAAAGAGAGAGAGAAAAGAAAAGAAAGAAAUGUCAAACGCUUUCACCAUUCAGAGGGAUGAUCAUGGGAGAUUUCUGGGUAGCAGUCUGGGGAGCCCUCCACCCCCUCCUAAAAAGGAGACAGCCUUUAUUACUCUGAAGGGGAGAGGGUGAAAGGCCUGGAGGGGAGUGGGACGAAGGGUCAGAUUUCUCCAGAACGACUCACAGUAAUAUCUCCCUUCAGCAGCCACCCUAUGAAUUCUGACACAUCUCAAAACACGCGAGUCUGGAAAAAGCAGUCAGAAUCUCCUACCUUCUGCAAAAAGCUACUGUGCAGUCUGUUCCUUUGUAGUUCGGGUUUUAAAGAAAAUCAAACCAUCUUGGAAAAAUCAAAAAGCAGAUGCACCCCCUAAUUGAAGUCGGCAAGGGCAACAGAAACCUCGUUAGGGGUGUUACAGGCCCUCGCACCCCAAUUAACCUGGGGGGUGGGGAGCGGAGGGCCUGUGGGUUUCUCUGCACAGAUGUCUGGGGGAAGAGGCCCUGGUGGGCAGGAGAUGGAGGUGUCUGGAGACCCUUCUGGAAACUAAGAGCCCAGGGCCCUCACCCAGCCGAGAGGUAGGAUCCCUCUCCAGCCUGGGGAGCUCCGUCCAGGGGGAGUCCUGGCCCUGGGCUGGCCCUGCAGCCACCUGCCCACCGGAGAGCAGUGGGGGAGCGCCCACAGCCACGACCCUGGGGCCACAUUUUACUACCUGCCAUUUACCACUCUGACGGGAAAACAAAUUUAAAACACCUGGACAUUUAUGUCUCUGAUGGGUCGAGCUGCACUGUUCCAUUAUAUUAAAUAAUCCAGGCGGUGCGCUUCAAAGGCCGCCGUCUCCGGGAGGCCACUGGGCGUGGCCCGGGUGAGAGCGCAGCCUGGGCUGCAGGCCGGAGGGGGGCCCGGGAGGAGCCUCCUGUGCGUUCAGAGGUGGGUUCAGAGGCGGAGGCUCGCAGGGAGCCCCAGGCUCUCAUCUGUGUCACAGCCCCUCCAAGGCCACACCCUGCCCCC